GUAAAGUUCCUGUAAUCUAGGUAGUACUACCAGGGCGAAGGACAUGCGUGGACUGAGGGACCGUGGGGAAAGUGCACAACUUGUGCCUAAACGUAGAGGGCAGUUCAGAGGAAUGCCAUUGGUCAGCAGAAGGAGGUGUGGUGACACUGAUAAAGGAUUUUGAAGUGUGUAAAGAUGGAGACACACUCACACCCGAACAGGCUCGAAUUCUGCUCAUAACCCACCUGCUGAUGGAGCUCGUUGCAGGCCUCCAGUGUGUGUUGAAUGGGGUUCUGGUGGUCCGGCGCGUGCAGGUAGAAGAUGUCCACACACUGUCUGCGCAGCCUCUUCAGGGACGUGUCCA